AAAGAACGCGGGGAACGUCGCAAAAACUGGCUCGCUCGCGCGCCGAUGACCUCGCCGCUGCAUCCGCGCGCUUUUUCUCGCGGUCUCGAAGUCACGGUGAGAUUCACUCGCCGCCGCGAAUUCGACAAGAGCGAAGCACCGCGCGUUGACCGUGAUGUAUCCCGCCAUGCUUCCUAACGACCGAAACCGCGAAACGCAAGACAACUCCGCGGUCCGUUAACUUAAAUGAAGCUUUUUUGGAUUACCUGUCGGCGGGUCUCACGAAACAUGAGUUACUUCACGUAAUGGUUUUUAUCUCCCGGAAACUUGGGGAGUUCAUGUACGCGUUCAUGUGACCGUCACAUAUUGCACCUUACAGAAAAAUGCCAGCGCAUCAAGAGUUUCCAGAUUACAGGCGAUUGAAGAUGAACGGUGGUCUUUCCGCGAAUCAAAUGUUGCAAGGGUAGAAAUAGAUAACAAAUCAAACUUCAUUCUUCGUUUAACCUCAUGCGAACUUUAACAGAAUUUCAAUUUCAGCAUUAAUUAUCAAAAUACUGUUCGAAAGUUACAAACUAUAAUAAAUGAUAAAUUGAUAUAACUCUGCAGAAUUUUUAUCUCAGAUCUAGCAAUCUCGCGCUUUUUAACAUUUCUCAUCAGAACUUACGAAUUUCCUUUGUAUUCACGGAAUGAGUAUAUACUUGGAAGCUGCAGACUCAAUCGUUAAAGUAUCAAUAGAAGUACACGUGACUCGAUUGUAUAAUCAAACACACAGUGAGAGAUACUUUAUAGAAGGAAGUUUCUUGGGAAAAAAUGCAUGAUUGCAUCUCAGUAGCAUUUCGCUGUUCUGAAAAGACGACGUCAAGCGUAGGCGAUGCAUCAGCUAUGGCAUCAGCAAUGAUAUCACUGCCAAUUCACGCUUCGGUGACAUUCCUGAUCGAGGGAGCUUUAUCUGAGCCCCGAUGGAAGGUGAUUUAAUUAAUGACGACUCUUUGUGCGAUCCGAUCGAGAAAUCCGCGAUUGCAGGCGAUUUACCGGCACAUCGAGGUUCAUUCCAUCCACGGAAUUCGGCCAAAUCAUUGCGUUUGUAACACAUUAUUUGCAACUGUUACUGGUCGUCGAUAUGCGAAUGGCAUGUUUGUCGUAUAUUUUGGAAAUCCUUCUAAUGCCAGUAUAAAAAAAAGCGAUUACAUUUUUUGUUAUAACAAAUACCUU